rnacentral:misc_RNA from 1 species
GGCCAACCGAAUUAUAGAAAUGCACAAGAGAAGGCAAGGCUCUGCCAGGAAGAGAAAAGGGCCCAUUUCAGGAACCAAGGGCAUGGACAGGUUCCGCUCAGAAGAAGCCUUUUAUGUUAACCCAUUGCCAGAUUGUCUAUGUCAAAGAGAAUUGCCAAAUGGAAAUAUGACUUCCAUUUUCAGAUAGUUCAAUUGAAUAUCAAGUUAAA